rnacentral:lncRNA from 1 species
CAGAAAACUAAGAGUAUUUGUGAGUGGUGGAUUAUGGGUGUUUUCUUAAUAUUCUUUUCUUUAUAGUUUUCCAUAAUACCGUAAAAUAAACUUUAUAAUUAGGAAAAGCAUUUUUUUGAAACAUGAGAAAUCCAAGUUUAUUUUAAGAGGAAACACAUUAUUAUUUUCCAGGAAGAAAUAUCAAUAAAGAGGGGGACUGGGGAUCUCCACGGGAGGCCCUCUCGAGCCCUGCUCUAUCACCCUGGAGAGUGGACCACAAAAGCACCUCCCCUAGGCAAAGUGCACACCAGAGCCUCUUGGUCAGCCAAGCAGCGAGAAGCUCCUUGGCUGUGUUCCAGUUCCUGCCCAUGGCACAGUGAGGUCUUGGGAGCGGCUUGGAGCCCCGCCUUCAUCCUGUGCUGAUCCCCACAGGUCAGCCAAGCAGCACAAAGCUCCUCGGCUGUGUUCCGGUUUCUGCCUGGGAGCAGCUUGGAGCCCCGCGAUCAUCUGGUGCUCCACUUAGCCACGCGGGCACCUGCAAGGCCCAAUUCCAACCUACCCCCCCGCCCCCGGGCUCUUCU